UGGGGAAUUUUGGACAAUGGGGGCAACCCUGAUCCAGCCAUGCCGCGUGAGUGAAGAAGGCCUUCGGGUUGUAAAGCUCUUUCGGCGGGGACGAAACGGUCCGUGACAACACCACGGACUAAUGACAGUACUCGCAGAAGAAGCACCGGCUAACUACGUGCCAGCAGCCGCGGUAAUACGUAGGGUGCAGGCGUUAAUCGGAAUUACUGGGCGUAAAGCGUGCGCAGGCGGCUCCUUAAGUCAGAUGUGAAAUCCCCGGGCUUAACCUGGGAACUGCGUUUGAAACUGAGGGGCUAGAGUGUGGAAGAGGGGGGUGGAAUUCCAGGUGUAGCAGUGAAAUGCGUAGAGAUGUGGAGGAAUACCGAUGGCGAAGGCAGCCCCCUGGGAUAACACUGACGCUCAUGCACGAAAGCGUGGGGAGCAAACAGGAUUAGAUACCCCAGUAGUCCCUGAGCGGGCUGGCAAGGCG
rnacentral:rRNA from 1 species